CUUCCUGGAGCUUUAGCUCUUCCUUUAGUUCCAUCUCUUGCUCCUCUCUAGCAGCAUUGGUACUGUCUGUAUUUCCACUACCAGAAGUGCUUGUGUUUUAAUUCCUGCUCUGAACUGUGAAAGAGGGAUAGCCAAAAGUACUCUCCACAGCUGUGUUGAGCCAGGGUUGGUAUGGAUCUUAAGAGGCACAACCUUUCUGGCUACAUCUACAGGAGGUAAAGACAUGGAUCAUGGACUGUUCUCUGGCAGGGAGUUCAACUGAGCUUUGACCCAAGUACAUCUGCCAGCUUUGACCAGAGUUUUAUGGCAGAGAGAGAAAAGGAUGGCUCCUUAAAAAAACACCACAGUUAUGUCAUGCUGCAGACAAGAAGAAAGACCUUGGCUGUUGUGAGCUGUAAUGGACCUAUAGGAGUUGUCCUAUAGGACCAAUGGCUAUGCUAACCUCCACCCAGCCAACAGCACUCUUUGCUAUCUGAUGACCGCUUUCAAGAGAAGGACGAGAUCACUUUCACCACCUUGUGUUAUACCUCAGGCACUGUCUGCAGAACGAGCCAUAAUGGAAGUUCAGAUCAUGACCUUCUACUUCAAGAGAACAAAGUCAAGGAGGAAUAAGAUCGUCUCCUACAGAAAGAAAGACUUCGAAGGUUUUCCUGCAGUCUACAUCAGUAGCAAUCAGAUUCUAUUAAUGUGGGAGUGA
rnacentral:lncRNA from 1 species